CGGGGCGUGGCGCAGCCUGGUUAGCGCGCUGGUCUGGGGGACCAGAGGUCCCCGGUUCAAAUCCGGGCGCCCCGA
rnacentral:tRNA from 1 species